AGAGUUUGAUCAUGGCUCAGAAUGAACGUUGGCGGCGUGGAUUAGGCAUGCAAGUCGAGCGCGAUACCUCCUUCGGGAGGUGGAAAGCGGCGAAAGGGAGAGGAACACGUGGAUUAUCUACCCCUGGAACCAGGAUAGCUGCGGGAAACUGCAGGUAAUACUGGAUAACGUCUCCGGACCAAAGGUGUGAUUCCGUCCAGGGAUGAGUCUGCGUCCUAUUAGCUAGUUGGCAGGGUAACGGCCUACCAAGGCGAUGAUGGGUACCGGGUGUGAGAGCAUGGCCCGGCUCACUGGGACUGAGACACGGCCCAGACACCUACGGGUGGCUGCAGGCGAGGAUCUUCGGCAAUGGGCGCAAGCCUGACCGAGCGACGCCGCGUGCGGGAUGAAGGCCUUCGGGUUGUAAACCGCUGUCGGAGGGGAUGAAAUGCGGGUGGGUUCUCCCAUUCGUUUGACAUAUCCUCAGAGGAAGUACGGGCUAAGUUCGUGCCAGCCGCCGCGGUAAUAC
rnacentral:rRNA from 1 species